UACGUAGUGACCAAGCGUUGUUCGGAUUUACUGGGCGUAAAGGGCGCGUAGGCGGCGCGGUAAGUCACUUGUGAAAUCUCUGAGCUUAACUCAGAACGGCCAAGUGAUACUGCAGUGCUAGAGUGUGGAAGGGGCAAUCGGAAUUCUUGGUGUAGCGGUGAAAUGCGUAGAUAUCAAGAGGAACACCUGAGGUGAAGACGGGUUGCUGGGCCAACACUGACGCUGAGGCGCGAAAGCCAGGGGAGCAAACGGG
rnacentral:rRNA from 1 species